CCAUAAAAGAGUUACUGGCUCACCUCAAGUCAAAAGCUGGGGCAACUGACCUUUUCCUUCCCACGCACAUCACUAGCCGCCGGCCCCCCACCCAAAGGCAAUCAGUUGCUUGAAUGGAAAAAGGAAGUAGGCAUCUUUAAUCUCUGAUUAAAGAAAAGAAAAGAGUUAACCUGAGAACCAAAGUGUCUAGACUGGGGCACAGUUAGCUUUAUAGUGCCUUAACCGUGACUAUCCCUUUGUUUCAUUUUAAACCCUAAGCUCCUGGAGCAAUCUUGUGGCCCAAGAGCUAUGAAGAAAAAGAGACUCUAUUUUCUGUAGUAAGAGGUGUCACUGACAUCCCAAAGUUUGUAUUUCUCAGUAACAUUACAUUUUGCUUGAUUUGUUGUGCAAUAUGUUAUCAGAUUACCAUAUACUUGUGUAAGGAUUCCCACCAAAGCACUUAACCUAAGUCUUUUUUGAAAAAGUUGGGUAUUGCCUUAUCUAACUGAAAUUUUGAAUCUUCCAUUUUAAUUGAUCCAGGGAAGCCUCUUCUGAAAAUCAGAUAUUUGUGCUACCCUACAGAUGUUUGAACUUUAUUUUUUGAACCUAUAACUUAAACUGGAUUACUCAGAAAGAUCUAAUGCUAACUAUAUUGACAAAUUACCUGUAAGUAUAAAGAUUGCUUAAGUAGUUAUUCCUUAUCUAAUCAAAUUAAUUUCGGCCUGGUACAACUCAUGAUUCUUUUGUCAUUUUUAUCUUGCUUUUCAGUGACAGAAAUGCUUGGCAAAGAAUUGUGUAUUAAAUAAUCAAACAUCUUUUUCACUUG
rnacentral:lncRNA from 1 species